GAUUAUCAACAAACUAUCUGUUGACACCCUGUUAACUACAAUUUAUGGUUAAGGUGAAGGUUAGGGGUUGGAUUUGGUUAAGGUGAUGUUCACUA